rnacentral:rRNA from 1 species
AUUGAACGCUGGCGGCAGGCCUAAUACAUGCAAGUCGAACGACUGGCGGACGGGUGAGUCAUGUCUGGGAACCUGCCUGACGGAGGGGGAUAACUACUGGAACAGGUAGCUCCUACCGCAUACCCUCGGAUGGGGCCAGAGGGGCUUAGCUAGUGGGUGGGGUAAAGGAUCACCUAGGCGACGAUCCCUAGCUGGUCGGAGAGGAUGACCAGCCACACUGGAACUGAGACACGGGCCAGACGCCUACGGGAGGCAGCAGUUGGGAAUAUUGGGCAAUGGACGCAAGCCUGAUGCAGCCAUGCCGCGUGAAUGAAGAAGGCCUUCGGUUUGUAAAGUACUUUCGUCGGGGAGGCGUUACCCGCACAGGAAGCACCGGCUAACUCCGUGCCAGCCGCCGCGGUAAUAC